GACGAACGCUGGCGGCGUGCUUAACACAUGCAAGUCGAACGAAGUGGCGAACGGGUGAGUAAUACGUGGGUAACCUGCCCUCCUUUUUGGGAUAAGCCUUGGAAACGGGGUCUAAUACCGAAUAAAGGGGGAUGGGCUCGCGGCCUAUCAGAGUGUGGGUGGGGUGAUGGCCUAACAAGGCAGUGACGGGUAGCCGGCCUGAGAGUGUGACAGGCCACAUGGGAACUGCGAGAAGGCCCAGAGUCCUACGGGAGGCAGCAGUGGGUGAUAUUGGGCGAUGGGCGAACGCCUGAUGGAGCCAUGCCGCGUGGGUGAAGAAGGCGUUCGGGUUGUAAAGCUCUACACGGGAAGAAGCGGUACUCGCACAAGAAGCCCCGGCUAACUCCGUGCCAGCAGCCGCGGUAAUUC
rnacentral:rRNA from 1 species